rnacentral:lncRNA from 1 species
CAUAACUGAAGGGUAAGAGGGUCAUGGGUCCUUCAUUUUGUGUGCAAUAUAAAUAGAUGCUAGUAGGGUUAUUUUCAGCACUUAGUUGAUACUUCAUAUUUCACAACAACAAGUCUUGUAACAUUGAACAGUUCUCUCUAUUUGGUUCUUGGGAGUAGAACCUGAAAUCUGUCCAACAAAGUGUAGUUACACUUGUGUUGUUCCUUG